UUUCGCUGCAGAAGCAGCAACUCAUUUUCUCUGGGACCCCUCUCUGCACGGAGAGCUCUUCUCUUUCUUUCGCCUAUUAAACUUACAUGGCCGUGGGACAAUGAACCUCAGGUAUUACCCCAGAGAAACAACAUCGCUUCAUUGAGGGGAAUGCAAAAAUGUAGUAAAGGAAAUUGAGAAUGAGAAGCCAAUAAAGUAGGUAAGAAACAAGGUAGAGUGACAUCAUGGAAGCCAAACAAAGCAAGUGUUUCCAGGAUGAAGGCGUGAUCAACUGGGUCAAAUGUAUGGUGACAGAUCAAAUAAGAUGAGGACUAAUCAUUAAUCAUGGAUUUUAGCAACACUGAGUCCCUGUGGACCUUUACAGGAGAAGUUCUGGUGGAGGGCUGAGAGCAAAAGCCUGGUUGAAGUGAGUUUGAAAAGAUGUGAAAUGUCCUUCCAAGUGUUCCUGAAACAAGGAGAUAUUUGAAGUCUCUCCAGCCUGAUAUCCCCAGUGGAAAUAAGUCAAUGUUGGAACAAGAAGUAUGAGCAACCAGAAUUUAAAAAAAUCUUGCUAAGGUUCUGAACAUAGAAGAGGUCUGUUUUCCUAUCAUUCGACACUGAAAUGACGUUUCCAGGAUAAAAUUCUCCAAUUCAUGUCGAGUGUGCUUAUCCAUGUUUUCCCCAGGUGACCAUCUAACCCCCUCAAUAUUUUUUUCCACCAGGUGGCAAUGCCCUCUUACUAUUGAAGAGCUGAAAGCUCAACAUGACAAAAACAGUGAAUAACCUGGGUUUCUGAAAGAACAUUCUGACAACUGUCUUUGUUUAGAAAGUUGACAUUUUCAUCAGAGUUGCCUCCUGGAAAAUCCAUUACAGAUUCCCAAACUGCUGAUUAUACACAACCUGAGAAGAAAUCUAAGGGAAGGUGACUGGCUGCUUUAUAUCAAAAGAAGGUCACCUAAUGUCUUAAACUCAAAGUGUGUUUUUUUUUUUUAGAAAGAAGGAGAAAAGGUUUUUGAUAAUCUGAAAUUUUGGCAGCAUAGGGCAGAUAACAGAAAGUCUGAUCUACUCUCAAGAAAGAAAGGAUGGAUAAAACAAUUGAUUAAGAAAAAAAACACAAAAUGAGAGAGUGAGGGAAAAUUUUAGGGAUUGAUUUAUAUAUAUUUUAAAUUAGUAAUCAAUAAAUAUUUGAUGAAUGAAUGAAAGGACAGAAAAGAGAGUAUCUGAUGAAAUGCAAUAUUCUAUGAUCUAGUACUCCAGAAAUUGUUGAAAGAAAAGGAAACAUUUUGAGAAACAUCAAGUUUAGAAUAUAGACUGGAACAGGGGUCAGCAAACUGUGAUCCAUGAGACCAUUCUGGCUUAACACCUGUUCUUGCAAAUAAAGUUUUAUUGGAACAACCACAUUCAUUUAUUCACAAAUCAACUAUGGCUGCUGCCAUGUGCUGUAACUGCAGAACUAUGUGUUUUCCACAUAACACCAGGCCCACAAAUCCUAAAAGACUUACUAACUGGCCCUUACCAUGAAAAGUGUGAUGAUUUCUGGAGUAGCAUUUAAGGACAUGGGUUUUAGAACCAGAUAAAUAUAAACUUCAGUCUCAGUUCUAACACUUAAUAGCUGUUUGACCUUAACUAAAUUGUAAGGGUUAAUGUAGGCCUUGCUUUUAAAACACUUAGCACCCUGCUGAUACACAGAAAUCAUAUUACUCAUUACUAUCUCUCUUGUGUAAACUCAAUGAGAAACUGAGAUAAUUUCCUCAACUCUCAUUAAUCCUCAAAAACGAAAAUAUUUUGUAAUUAUAGACAAACGGUGGAGAAUAAAUGUACCUCCUUUUAAUUCUGGCAAACCUGCUUUCUCCAAAUAACUCCUCUCUGUUUCCUUCUCUUUCAGUAGAGUCAAACUCUUGAUGACGGUAUUUAGCAGUUGGUAAAUGCCUAGUGUGCUGAGUCUGUGCAGAUCUGAUACUCUUCACAGUCCCUGACCAAAGCCCCGGAUCCUGAAUCUUACAAAAUGCAAUGGAAUCUUGAAAAAUAGAAAAGACAUGGGGCAAGUAUUCAAAACUUACCCUAAGUGCUUCUGACCCUGAAUAGCUAAGGCUCAAAAUUGGCUUACAGAACAUGCAAUGAUGAUUUUGAUGGUUUUUCGUUCUAGUUUCUAACUAAUUCAGUGUUUGGCUGCCAGUAAGGGCCUUUGGCAAACACCUAUAGGAGAAGUGUCUAAAAUGUAAAGUGAAUCACUGGAAAUGGGAACUCUGUCAAAAUAAGGGAAUUAAGUUCAUUAAAGGUGUGGUAGCUUAAUUUACUGUGCCAGUUCAUACUGAUCAGGGUUGGCACUGAACACUCAGCUAGUGCAAACCCACCCAAACUUGGCAGAAUAAAUGACCCCAACCAAUCCAGCCUCUUGGCUUUCUCUCCAGGUUAAAUGUGCUUAAAUUAGUAAAAAUUGGGUUUGGACUAUGGGCCUUUCUUGUCUUCUAGAUUGGGGCUGUGUUGUAUCAACUCCAUGAGACAAACAGCAAAGACAACUUUGCUCAUGGGGUAGAAUGGUUGACAUCUCCAGGUGAGAAAAAUGGCCUCAAAAGUCCCAGAGUCUUUGGGAACUGCAUCAAACAACCAAGGAAUUUAUGUCCAAACUCUGUAAACACACAUUUCCAAGAUGGCAUUUAGGUAGAUGGCCUCUUGGUAGAAAACUAAGUAGGUCCCUGGAGAGCAAGACGUGAGAGCCAGGUGAGGCUGCUCCUGGGAUCACUAUAACCACAUUGGACAUGAUACAAAGUCAGGAGGUAGUGUGUGGGAUGUGAUAGGGGUCCACUUGCUGACACACAAACCUUAAAACCUAGAUGAGGUUCACGUGGGCAUGGGGUACCAUGUCAAAACACAGUGUGCCAACUACUUCUAUGAGGAGCACGGAUUUGCCUCACCAUAGAAGAGGAGAGCUGUAGGUGUUUCAACUGACACUUUCACAGAUCACUUCAAUAUAUGGAAAUCCUAUUUUGCAUGUGAUUUACACAGUUGAAUUUAUUCAAAAGAGAUUUAUGUUGUAAUUUGCUAAGUACUCUGAAUAGAAAAUUAAAGUGACUGUCCCUGCCCUCAUAGAGCUGAUGUUCUGGUAGAGGAGACAGGCUUUUACAUGAAUAGCUAUAAUGGUAUUUGAAUAAUAGCAAACAACAGGCAAGGGCAGGGUGCUAAACAAAGAAAGGAAUUAAAGAAAUUAAGUAAUGCUUUGUCAAAUGGUGAUGUUGGACCUGCACCAUGAGGGAUAUGAAGAUAGUGUCAUUCCCUGGCCCUCUGCCCUUCAUUAUGUUUUCUAAAAAGGGACCAGAAGAUUUACUUAAAAAGCAGCCAUAACUAUAAAUGCAUAUUCUUCUCUCCUUUUCCUCAGCUCCACAUUUUACUAGCACUGUUGGAUUUCCCUAGGACCCUAGUGAAACAACCAGAAAUUUGGAUAAGAACAUUUAAGAAAAAUAACGUAUCUCUGUUUCAUUACACGUGGAUUAUUUUUUUGAUGUUUCUUUCUGUCAGUCAGAAAUGGACAGGUGAAAAUGUUAUGUAAACCCUCAAUAUCAGUCAUCUUUAUAGUUACACUAGUAUUCCAGCCAUUCUUUUCAUUAAAACAAAUAAAAAAAAAACUUGGGAAGAGACUACCACGUUUAGUUAGAAAACAGUACAGUCAGCUUCUUUUUUUCUUUUUUAAUGUGUUUUUAUGGUUUGCUUGUGUGCUUUUCAUCAAAAAAUUCUUACUGUCAAAUUAAUUGAGAAACUUACAGUAAUUGAUGGCCAUUCUGGGAUGUCUCAACAAUACUGCUGCCCUAAAUAAUAUUUCCUAAUGAUUAUUAAGCCUGAAUAAAUGAGUUUUUAAAGGUUGUCAGUAUAGCCUAUUUCAUAAAUAUUUAUUGAGCACUGUAUUAGCCUGUUUUGCAGAUAAGGGAAUACUGGAGGCUGGGUAAUUUAUAAAUUAAGAAAGGCUUAUUUGGCUCACAGUUAUGCAGGUUGUGCAAGAAGCAUGGUGCUGGCAUGUACUUGGCUUCUGGUGAGGCCUCAGGAAGUUUACAAUCAUGGUAGAAGGUGAAGGGGGAGCAGGCAUGUCACAUGGUGAGAGAGGGAGCAAGAGAGAGAAGGAGGUGCCAGGCUCCUUUAAACAACCAGCUCUCAAAUGAACUACUAGAGCAAGAACUCACUCGUUACCAUGGGUAUGGCACCAAGUCAUUUAUAAAACAUCCAUCGCCAUGACUGAAACACCUCCCACCAGGCUCACCUCCAACAUCGAAGGUUACACUUCAACAUGAGAUUUGCAUCCAAACUAUAUCAAGCAUCUAUAAUGUGCCAUGUGCUAGGCAAUGGGCAUAGCAGAAACAAUUAUGAGCAAG
rnacentral:lncRNA from 10 species